UGCCGCCAUGCCCGGAGGGUUGCUUC
rnacentral:piRNA from 1 species